GUCAGCGGACUGCUCGAGCUGCU
rnacentral:snRNA from 1 species